UAUUCUGCCCCAUGGGGAAGGAUGAGAAGCUUCGACUAAGGUUCGACUCGAGCGAAGCGAGAGAACGUUGCCGCUGGCAAUGGCCCGAAG
rnacentral:sRNA from 1 species